UACGUAGGUGGCAAGCGUUGUCCGGAUUUACUGGGCGUAAAGAGCGCGCAGGCGGUCGUUCAAGUCGCGUGUGAAAGCCCCCGGCUCAACUGGGGAGGGUCACGCGAUACUGAUCGACUCGAAGGCAGGAGAGGGUAGUGGAAUUCCCGGUGUAGUGGUGAAAUGCGUAGAGAUGUGGAGGAACACCGAUGGCGAAGGCAGCCCCCUGGGUCAAGAUUGACGCUCAUGCACGAAAGCGUGGGGAGCAAACAGG
rnacentral:rRNA from 1 species